AAGGAUGACAGCGCUACGCGUUGUAAACUUCUUUUGUACAGGAAGAAACACUUCUACGUGUAGAAGCUUGACGGUACUGUACGAAUAAGCAUCGGCUAACUCCGUGCCAGCAGCCGCGGUAAUACGGAGGAUGCAAGCGUUAUCCGGAUUUAUUGGGUUUAAAGGGUACGUAGGCGGAAAAUUAAGUCAGUAGUGAAAUCCUGCAGCUUAACUGUGGAACUGUUAUUGAUACUGGUUUUCUUGAAUUUAGUUGAGGUAGGCGGAAUGUGUAAUGUAGCGGUGAAAUGCUUAGAUAUUACACAGAACACCGAUUGCGAAGGCAGCUUACUAAGCUAUGAUUGACGCUGAGGUACGAAAGCGUGGGGAGCGAACAGGAUUAGAUACCCUGGUAGUCCACGCCGUAAACGAUGAUCACUCGUUGUUGGCAAUACAUCGUCAGCGACUGAGCGAAAGCAUUAAGUGAUCCACCUGGGGAGUACGCUCGCAAGAGUG
rnacentral:rRNA from 1 species